UAAUAAAUGUGCAGACUUCAUAUGUACCGGGAAGUCUGUGUUCCAUGUAAGUUUUUCUUUGAAUGGACCAUUGUGUGUCCUUAUGAAUUGUUUCCAUGCGCUGCGGAUUAGAAUAAUGAAUGAUAUAGUGUAACUGGGAUAAAAUUUAGGAAACAAACUUUUGUAUAGAGAUAAAGGUCCAGAAUUAUUACAAGUCUAGCAUGUCUUGCACUUCUUGGUACUCCAC
rnacentral:lncRNA from 1 species